ACUGCUCAGUAACACGUGGAUAACCUGCCCUGCGGUGGGAAAUAACCCCGGGAAACUGGGGAUAAUGUCCCAUAGGCUACGGAUGCUGGAAUGCUCUGUAGCUCAAAGAUUUAUCGCCACAGGAUGGGUCUGCGGCCGAUUAGGUAGUUGUUGGGGUAACGGCCCAACAAGCCUUUGAUCGGUACGGGUUGUGGGAGUAAGAGCCCGGAGAUGGAUUCUGAGACAUGAAUCCAGGCCCUACGGGGCGCAGCAGGCGCGAAAACUUUACAAUGCGGGAAACCGUGAUAAGGGAACACCGAGUGCCAGCAUCAUAUGCUGGCUGUCCAGAUGUGUAAACUACAUCUGUUAGCAAGGGCCGGGCAAGACCGGUGCCAGCCGCCGCGGUAACACCGGCGGCCCGAGUGGUGACCGUUAUUAUUGGGUCUAAAGGGUCCGUAGCCGGUUUGGUCAGUCCUCCGGGAAAUCUGAUAGCUUAACUGUUAGGCUUUCGGGGGAUACUGCCAGGCUUGGAACCGGGAGAGGUAAGAGGUACUACAGGGGUAGGAGUGAAAUCUUGUAAUCCCUGUGAGACCACCUGUGGCGAAGGCGUCUUACCAGAACGGGUUCGACGGUGAGGGACGAAAGCUGGGGGCACGAACCGGAUUAGAUACCCGGGUAGUCCCAGCCGUAAACUAUGCUCGCUAGGUGUCAGGCAUGGCGCGACCGUGUCUGGUGCCGCAGGGAAAGCCGUGAAGCGAGCCACCUGGGAAGUACGGCCGCAAGGCUGAAACUUAAAGGAAUUGGCGGGGGAGCAC
rnacentral:rRNA from 1 species